CCUACCAUAGUCCAACGGUAACCCACCCGCUCCGGGAUAAAAACCAGAAGCGGGUCAACAGAGGUUCGAUCCCUCUCGGUAGCA